GUUUCCGUAGUGUAGCGGUUAUCACAUCUGCCUAACACGCAAAAGGCGCCCGGUUCGAUCUCGGGCGGAAACA
rnacentral:tRNA from 1 species